rnacentral:lncRNA from 1 species
AGCCUAAAAAAUUCCUCCCUGCUUACCUGGAACAAAGAUUUCCACCUCACCUCGGAGGAUAGUUGCAAGCCCUCGAACCAUUGAGCUGUCGAAGCCCAAACAACUCCACCCGAACUUCAUGCCAGCGCGGGAUCCCGAGUGGCCUGUCACAGAGGCUGCCAAGCGUGCAGUGCCUACUAAAAGAAUUCUGGGGCUGGCCCAGCCUUCCUCAAGGUAGGUACUGCUUCCCUGUCCCGGGGAAACGAUCAGCUGCCAGCCCAUUUUGUGUGG